CUCCCUCAGCCUUACUCCAGGGGCUUUUGCCUGUAGAGUGCCCUGGCAUUGCCUGAGGGUACAGGAAAAGCGCACUUCCCUCCCCAGGAAGACUGUGUCCACUGGGGCCUACAAGGUGAGCUGACAGC
rnacentral:snoRNA from 10 species